AGCGAACGCUGGCGGCAGGCUUAACACAUGCAAGUCGAACGGGCAUCUUCGGAUGUCAGUGGCAGACGGGUGAGUAACACGUGGGAACGUACCCUUCGGUUCGGAAUAACUCAGGGAAACUUGAGCUAAUACCGGAUACGCCCUUUUGGGGAAAGGUUUACUGCCGAAGGAUCGGCCCGCGUCUGAUUAGCUUGUUGGUUGGGUAACGGCCUACCAAGGCGACGGUCAGUAGCUGGUCUGAGAGGAGGAUCAGCCACACGGGGUCGGGGACACGGCCCAGACCUCUGCGGGAGGGGGGAGUGGGGAAAAUUGGGAAGGGGGCGGAAGCCGUAACCCCCCGUGCCGGGUGAGGGAUAAAGGGUUGGGGGUUGAAAACGCCUUUUGCCCGGGGUGAAAAGCGGGGACCGGGAAAAAAACCCCCGGGCAAACUGCG
rnacentral:rRNA from 1 species